rnacentral:ribozyme from 13 species
AUGAACGGGAGGCAACAAAAAAAGAAAAGAAAACAUAAAACAGAUGAUCAUCUUCAUCAUUUCUUCUUUCUUUUUCUCUUGAUUUUUUUUU